rnacentral:ncRNA from 1 species
AAAGUAACUUCGAACAGGCCAGAGAGCAUCUCUCGGAGCCGGGUCACGAUCGUGACAGUGGACACCCACGGGACAGUG